UACGUAGGGGGCAAGCGUUGUCCGGAAUCAUUGGGCGUAAAGAGCGUGUAGGCGGUUCGGUAAGUCGGCUGUGAAAGUCCAGGGCUCAACCCUGGAAAGCGGGUGGAUACUGCCGGGCUAGAGUCCGGAAGAGGCGAGUGGAAUUCCUGGUGUAGCGGUGGAAUGCGCAGAUAUCAGGAGGAACACCAACAGCGAAGGCAGCUCGCUGGGACGGUACUGACGCUGAGGCGCGAAAGCGUGGGGAGCGAACAGG
rnacentral:rRNA from 1 species